rnacentral:lncRNA from 1 species
GGUUGCUAGGGCGGCACAUAUUCGGAAGCGAUGGAGUUAGUAAACUGGAUACAAAUUCUACUUCCGGGAAUUCAGGACAUCCAUUAUAGGAACCCAAGGAUGAACUUAAACAGCUGGCACAUUGAUUUGAAGAUAUAUUAGCUUUGCAUUGAGAGGCACCAUAGACUUUAUCUGAGUUAUUCCCAUAACUUGAGGUAUAGAAUCCAUGUU